rnacentral:rRNA from 1 species
GAUGAACGCUGGCGGCGUGCCUAAUACAUGCAAGUCGAGCGAACAGACGAGGAGCUUGCUCCUCUGACGUUAGCGGCGGACGGGUGAGUAACACGUGGAUAACCUACCUAUAAGACUGGGAUAACUUCGGGAAACCGGAGCUAAUACCGGAUAAUAUAUUGAACCGCAUGGUUCAAUAGUGAAAGACGGUUUUGCUGUCACUUAUAGAUGGAUCCGCGCCGCAUUAGCUAGUUGGUAAGGUAACGGCUUACCAAGGCGACGAUGCGUAGCCGACCUGAGAGGGUGAUCGGCCACACUGGAACUGAGACACGGUCCAGACUCCUACGGGAGGCAGCAGUAGGGAAUCUUCCGCAAAGGGCGAAAGCCUGACGGAGCAACGCCGCGUGAGUGAUGAAGGUCUUCGGAUCGUAAAACUCUGUUAGUAGGGAAGAACAAAUGUGUGAGUAACUAUGCACGUCUUGACGGUACCUAAUCAGAAAGCCACGGCUAACUACGUG